GACGAACGCUGGCGGCGUGCCUAAUACAUGCAAGUCGAACGAACCGCGACUAAGUGCUUGCACUAAGUCAAGGUGAGUGGCGAACGGGUGAGUAACACGUGGGUAACCUACCUCAUAGUGGGGGAUAACAGUCGGAAACGACUGCUAAUACCGCAUAGGACAUAGGAUCACAUGAUCCAGUGAGGAAAGGUGGCGCAAGCUAUCGCUAAGAGAUGGACCCGCGGUGCAUUAGCUAGUUGGUAGGGUAAAGGCCCACCAAGGCGAUGAUGCAUAGCCGACCUGAGAGGGUGAUCGGCCACAUUGGGACUGAGACACGGCCCAAACUCCUACGGGAGGCAGCAGUAGGGAAUCUUCCGCAAUGGACGCAAGUCUGACGGAGCAACGCCGCGUGAGUGAAGAAGGUCUUCGGAUCGUAAAGCUCUGUUGUUAGAGAAGAACAGCGCAUAGAGUAACUGCUAUGCGUGUGACGGUAUCUAACCAGAAAGCCACGGCUAACUACGUG
rnacentral:rRNA from 1 species